UCGAGCAUUACCUCGAGUAAGUGGUGAAUUCUUUGCAGUUACCGAAAUGUUCAUCUCAUCAUCAAAACACCGUGUAACUAUAAGACGUUGUUUUGCAGUGAGCAUUAUAACAUGAUUACAAGGGAACUCACAACCAACACUGCGCGCAGGCACGAGGCUCAAUUUCCCGGGUGGUUCAAGAAACAUGUAUGUAUUUCUCUUGCAUAAUGUACAAACAACCUUUUAAUGAGAGGCACCCCGGUUGGUGUGCAUUACAUUUGAAUCCGACAUAAAAGAUAGUCAACUUUAAUUGACUAUAAUCACGUUGUCUAAAAUAAAAACCAACAGCAAGGAUAUUAUUAUAUAAUUAUAGUUGUAUCUCCUAUUUUGCAAGCAUGAUUGGAUUUGUUGUUUGCUUGGACAAUAGAUUCGAGAGAAGCGUGCAAUGGAUCCAACCAGUGUACGAGAUGAAAUAUAUGCACUUGCAUGUGGUCCCGACAAGUGGGUUGCGUCAUACGCUGGUUGCAUAAUGAAUGGAAUUAGGUUUCAAACAAAGGAUCGAGAGAGGCACCGGCGAACGCAAAAUAGCGGUUUGGUUGUCCGAGGUGAACAUCAAUCAAAUCCCAUAGACUUCUAUGGGGUGUUGAAUGAUAUCAUAGAAUUACGAUAUAUGGGUUGGCGUAAGGUGUAUUUGUUUCAUUGUGAUUGGUGGGAUGUUGGUGAUAAGCGAAGAGGGAUUCGCGUUGGGGACCAUCUAACCAGCCUGAACACGUCUACAACAUGGUAUAAAGAUGAGCCUUUUGCUCUUGCUUGCCAAGCGCAGCAAGUGUUUUAUGUAAAAGACGUGAGUGUGGCGGGUAGUUGGUAUGUGGUCCAUAAGAUAACGAAUAGAAAUGUAUACAACAUCCCUUUAGUAUCAGCAGCUGAGGUGGCGGAUGAUGGUGCCGAUUCUGGUGAGGAUGACGCUUUACAGGAGGAUGAAAACAUCCCGACAAACGUGCCGUAUGCCCAAAGCAAUGACCUAGACUUGAUGACCCCGUUGAAUAGGGUAGAUGAAGAACCAUUGCUGCUUGACCCUUCGAUCAUGCUAGAACAGCAACCAUCUGAACUACCUGACCACGAGGAAUACGUCGAGGAUGCCGAAGGAGUUGAUGAUGAGCUGGGAGUUGACGAUGCCUCCACUAAUAGUGCGGACAGCGAAGAAGACAGUAUUGCAGAAGCCGAUUAGAAGUCAAUCAGCUUCAGAUGAUGGUUUUGCAUGUGGAGGUGAAGGACUAGAGUUGGGGUAAUGGGGUCAUGAUGACAAACUUGGUGUCAAUAGGAGUACAAGAACACAUAAACUAUCAUUUACCCCAGAUACACAAUCAGAGUAAAGGUCCAACUUUCAGUAGAGUGGAGGGAAAGUGGGACAGAAAGGAGGUGAUCUGGAAGGUUCCUUAGAGGAAGACAAGCUAUUCAAGCACUCCAACGUGGGCUGUAACAAAGAACCAGGAAUACACACCAGGUUCAGCACAUAUAUUUCACACAUAUAUUUUCAAUGGUGAGAUGGGUAAGAGGACGAUGGCGCGGACCAGGUGGAAUACAUAGAGCAGGAGGCAUACGUGUCCAACAACGUCCACUUUUGAGUGAUAUACAAGAUAGGGAACACGAAGUACAUUCGGACGAUUCAACUCAACCACCAAAUGUUGGUGGUGAUGAGACAGUGGAAGCUAUAGCAAAUGAGGCUGAAAGGGUUGUGAGCACUGAACAUAAUGAAGCUUUGCCAACUCGAAAACGUGGUCGGGGACCAGCAAAAGACACGCUUUUUGAACGCAUUCGGAAAUUUGGGAAAAUACCUCUGAAUAUUAAGGAUGGACAAAGAGGUCCAUGUUGUGAGAAUUACAACAUAUUUUCUGG